ensembl:snoRNA
UGCAAGUGAUGCUUUUUCUCACGAUGGUCUUCCAAACCUUUAGGGUUCUGACGACAAUGCCUUUUGGCAGCACUGAUGCAAUAUC